rnacentral:rRNA from 1 species
GACGAACGCUGGCGGCGUGCCUAAUACAUGCAAGUUGUACGCUGAAGGUUGGUACUUGUACCAACUGUAUGAGCAGCGAACGUGUGAGUAACGCGUGGUGAAUCCGCCUUUGAGCGGGGGACAACAUAUUGAAACUAAUGCUAAUACCGCAUAAAAACUGUAAACACAAGUUUUAAAUUUGAAAGAUGCAAUUGCAUCACUCAAAGCUUAUCCCGCGUUGUAUUAGCUAGUUGGUUAGGUAAAGGCCCACCAAGGCGAUGAUACACAGCCGACCGGGGAGGGUGAUAGGCCACCUUGGGACGGAGACACGGACAAUAGGACUACGGGAGGGAGCAGUAGGGAACCGUAGGCAACGGACGAGAGUAUGACAGAGUAAGGCCGAGUGAGUGACGAAGGUUCUCGGUUCGUAAAGAUCGGUUGGGAGUGAAGAACGUCGGUGAGCGUGGAAAGAUCAUCAAGUGACGGUAACUACAGAGAAAGGGACGGCUAACUACGUG